GACUACUCACUUCGGCAGUUCAUAUACUAAAAUUGAACGAUAUAGAGAAGAUAGCAUAGUCGCUGUGUGAGGAUGACAUGCAAACUUGCAAAAUGUUAAAAAAAAUG